GGCUCCUUGUAAAGCAUAGAUAAGGAGUCGAGCCUGCCCAGUGAAUUUUUUUAACGGCCGCGGUACUCUGACCGUGCAAAGGUAGCAUAAUCAUUUGCCUUAUAAUUGAAGGCUUGUAUGAAUGGUUUGACAAGAAUGUAACUGUCUCUUUAUAAUUAAGUAGAAUUUUAUAUAUAGGUGAAGAAGCCUAUAUAAUAUUGAAAGACAAGAAGACCCUAUCGAGCUUAAAAUAAAUUAGUAAGCUUAACUGUUUAAUAUAAUUAAAAAAUUAAUUACUAAAAACUUUGGUUGGGGCGACUGAGGAACAAAUAAAGCUUCCUUUAUUCUAUAAAACAAUCAGGUAAAGAUCCAAAAACUUUGAUUAAAGAAAAUAGUUACCGUAGGGAUAACAGCAUUAUCUUUUUUAAGAGUUCUAAUCGAAAAAAAGGUUUGUGACCUCGAUGUUGGACCAGAAUAUCCUAAAGAUGCAGCCGUCUUUAAGGGUUGGUCUGUUCGACCAUUAAAAUUCU
rnacentral:rRNA from 1 species